rnacentral:rRNA from 1 species
AUACGGAGGGUGCGCGCGUUGUUCGGAAUUAUUGGGCGUAAAGAGCAUGUAGGCGGUCUGUUAAGUCUGGUGUGAAAGCCCGGGGCUCAACCCCGGAAGUGCAUUGGAUACUGGCAGACUUGAGUAUGGGAGAGGAAAGCGGAAUUCCGAGUGUAGGAGUGAAAUCCGUAGAUAUUCGGAGGAACACCAGUGGCGAAGGCGGCUUUCUGGACCAAUACUGACGCUGAGAUGCGAAAGCGUGGGGAGCGAACAGGAUUAGAAACCCGUGUAGUCC